rnacentral:rRNA from 1 species
CCUACGGGGUGCAGCAGUGAGGAAUAUUGGUCAAUGGCCGGAAGGCUGAACCAGCCAUGCCGCGUGAAGGUCAGUGCCCUAUGGGCGUUAAACUUCUUUUGUGCGGGAGCAAUAAUGGUCACGUGUGGCCAGACGAGAGUACCGUACGAAUAAGCAUCGGCUAACUCCGUGCCAGCAGCCGCGGUAAUACGGGGGAUGCAAGCGUUAUCCGGAUUUAUUGGGUUUAAAGGGUGCGUAGGCUGUGAGGUAAGUCAGCGGUGAAAUGCCACCGCGCACCGGGGUGAAGUGCCAUUGAUACUGCCGUGCUGGAAUGCGGAUGCCGUGGGAGGAAUGUGUGGUGUAGCGGUGAAAUACAUAGAUAUCACACAGAACACCGAUUGCGAAGGCAUCUCACGAAUCCGCGAUUGACGCUGAUGCACGAAAGCGUGGGUAUCAAACAGGAUUAGAUACCCCGGUAGUC